rnacentral:rRNA from 1 species
GACAGAGGGUGCAAACGUUGCUCGGAAUUACUGGGCGUAAAGGGCUCGUAGGCGGCCAACUAAGUCAGACGUGAAAUCCCCAGGCUCAACCUGGGAACUGCGUCUGAUACUGGAUGGCUUGAAUCCGGGAGAGGGAUGCAGAAUUCCAGGUGUAGCGGUGAAAUGCGUAGAUAUCUGGAGGAAUACCGGUGGCGAAGGCGGCAUCCUGGACCGGCAUUGACGCUGAUGAGCGAAAGCCAGGGGAGCAAACGGG